GCUCAAAUACUUGCAUGUGUAACUUCACUUUAAUUACGGGAUGCAGCUCUCGUUACACCUUACUAAUUGUUACAGCUUCCUUGAUUCCACGGGUCUGUAAGCCCAUGUCUCCUUGCUGCCCUGCUUGUGAUGCUCCCUGUCAGUACGGGCAGCUGCCCAAAGCCUUGUGACUUUCCCUGCUCUUCUAUCCCUUGUAGGGUGCUGUGUGCCUGCUCUUAUAUGGUGGUGCCCUGUACAGUGGAGGAACUGCCUUGUGUAAUGUCCUGGAAGCCUUCCCUUCAUAUGGGGCCGAGCAAGCUGGCUCUUACACAAUACUGCACGAGGCUGGAGCACUGCCACAGCUGCUGACAUCACAGAUUUGGGAAGAGCAACAGAAAAAUUGACUUUGAAUGUUGAAGAGGGAAGCAGAUGCAUCUUCUUCAUUGUAGAAAGAAACAACCUGAAGAACUGGAAUGGAAGCAAAAUGGACAAACAUGGGCUAACCUUGUUGAGUCAGCUGAUUCUGAUGUGCCAUACCAGUGGUCCCAAAAGGACCAAAAUCCCUCCAAAAAUGGGAGAUGCAUGGAGGGAGAACCUCCUUCUGAGCCUGGCAGAGGCAUUUGAUCCUGAGAGCCAGCCUCCUCUCUUGUUUCCUUGGGGUAUCCAGUUUAAUUUAAUCUUUCACCAUGAAAACUGUUUUGUCUGCAAGUAGAACAUAUCUUGGCCACCUUCCACAACUGUGUGUAGAUACAUCUGCAUAGUUCUGUUAAGCAAGGAAUGAUUUAAAACACUGAAUUGAAACAAAGACUUAUUUACCAUAUGUGAGGUUUACAGCAGCCUCACCUCCCUCUGAUGGCCAGUGACAUUCCCCAGUGAGGAAUGCAUCAUCCUCCACACCUCACGUUCCUUGUCAGUCUGUGCUUAAGAGGUGUGACACAAACCUUCCCUCAGCCCCAUUGCAUGCAGCCCAUAGCUGCCUCUUGCAUAGAGCCAGAAUUGACAGGAGUCAACUGCUUUUCUUGUGCAAUCCUUCAGCUCUUCACCUCCUGGCAAACUGUAGCAGCUGAAUUUGCACAUCUCUGCAGCAAAACACCCAACCAGUGCGUGUAACUCACCAGGUUGUUUUGGUAUUUCCAACAUUUACGGGCUGAUCUCUGUGCUGUGUGUGCUCUGCAUCCCGUCUGAGUGCUUGUAAGGAAGGAAAGGAGCCGUGGUGCUCUGAGACCAAAAAACAGAUUAUCCAAAUUAAGAUGAAUGCAACUGGGAUAAAGGCAGUUACAGAACGGUGUCUCCGAGCAUCUGGAGUGUCAAUAAUACCACAUCUCAGCUGCUUUGCCUGGGUUCCUUCGGAAGAAGGUGAAGAUUGGCUUCAGUGCCUUGAAAAAUGUGUCUCAGCCCCUGUGUCCUUGAUGUGAGUGGGAGAAUUGUGAGUGGGAGCGGGGUCCCACCUCAUUGUGCUCCAAGAGCAGGACUGAUGGACAAGGAGUGAUGGGGCCGGGCCCGCGUGGCUGCCAUCAGGUGAUCUGCAGGGCAGGUGACAAAUGGACGGAUACAAAAGGGCUUCGAUCUGCCAUGUCAGCUGCUUGAAGCUUUGUAAGCUCUCAUCCUUUGAAAGGACAGCGCAGAGCCAUGCUUCCUGCCUCCUGUUUGCUUUCCUUUCGCUCAGCAUCCUCUCAUGGACUCUCAUGGACUCCUCAGCUCUGCCUGAAUGUGCCCCAGUUUCUGGGUUUUCUCCUAUUUGGAAAUGUGUUUUUGGUGAUGAUCAUACUUUGUAUUUGAGAAAGAAAUAGCUCGGGAGAGAGAGAAUUGUUCUCCUGGUAGACAUCCCACUCAGUAUCCCAUAAAUAAAUGGGAGUUAAAAUCUCAUCGCAAUCUGGUUGCGCUGGAAACCGCACUUCUGGCUACGCUACGCCCAAGGUGGAUGCUGUAAGAAGCUGGUAAUUUACCAUCACUGCUCUAAUGAAAUAUUUAAUCAGAUUAAUUAAUGUGACUUCAUUAGUUGGUAUGCUCCUCAGCCUGGAUCUGUUACUGCAGCUUCCUUGCCCUUUUGUAAAGCGAUGUGGAAAGCGUGAUUUAUCGUCUCCAGCAUCUCCUCCGUUACAUCUGCCUUGCUGCAGCUGGACGACCAAACCUGUCUCUCAUUGAUCAGCUUCAGGGGAAAGCAUUCACAAGAGCUGCCUGGAGAGGAGCCAGGCUGGGGUCAGACUGCAACCAAGGGAGCUUCCUUUCAUCUCCAGUGAGCCCCAGGUUGGCUGGCCAGGUUCCAGCCAGGCACAGUGGCGUGACAGCAUGAGGGCAGCCAGAACUGGGGGCUAUGGGAGAGAGGAUUUUGGCUGAUUCCCUUGGAAAACCAACACUCAAAUACACAGAAUAGUAUGCAUUUACUUGUUUGCUUGGUUACUUGCCCCCCCCCCGCCUCUCAAUCUUUGAAGCAGCAUUGGUGGCCAUUGGUCACCGUCAGUGUGUGAGGUGUAAGGCUCCUUUCUGUGGCAGAGGUGAAUCACAGAGGAGCCACAUGAAGUGGCAGGGUGAUUCAUAAGGAUGUCCCUUGCAGCACCAACAUGUGUAUCAUUUCUCUACUUUCCCCUUCCUUAACAGCAGCAUCUGCUCUCUGCCAGUGUUGUGGACUCAGUGUCCUAUGGGAUCUGUCCUGGCGGGGCUGUGCCCUUUUGGCAGCAGUGGGAUACAGCACACUGGGAUGGAGCACACUGGGAUGGAGCACACUGGGAUGGAGCACACUGGGAUGCUGCACAUCAGCACACAGCACACCAGCUCCCUCUUGCUGCCAUCAGCUUCUGCCCACACGGACAAGCAGGGGCAGCAGGCAUGGGGCUCCACAGCAGGGCUGUGCCUUCUCCUACACGUGCAGAAUCUAUUUUCCCUGCCUCAUUUUACUGCUACGUGUCAGGGAUAAGCAUACACAAUAUAUGGCUCCCACUACCACUUUCUUGGCAACUAGUAAUUUGAAGUUUUACUAUACAUUGUAUUACACACUGCAAAGUUGUUGACUUCCUCUGGCUGAUCUCAAAUGCACUUAAAUCAUGGAUGAAUGAACGUAUUUUUCAAAGAUAAGCCCAGAGCAAAUGAAUUGGAUUUAUUUUUAAUGCUGACUUGUUUCUAAUGCCCAGUGACACAUGAACAAACGAUUGCCAUCAGUUGUCCUCUUUCUCCAUGGGAUAUUGCUUUGGGCAGGAUAAUAUCAGUGCAUUUAGUGUUAUAAAUCAUCCCUCUGGCUUGAUAUUUCUUCUUUAAG
ensembl:lncRNA